rnacentral:rRNA from 1 species
UGCAAGUCGAGCGGACAGAAGGGAGCUUGCUCCCGGAUGUUAGCGGCGGACGGGUGAGUAACACGUGGGUAACCUGCCUGUAAGACUGGGAUAACUCCGGGAAACCGGAGCUAAUACCGGAUAGUUCCUUGAACCGCAUGGUUCAAGGAUGAAAGACGGUUUCGGCUGUCACUUACAGAUGGACCCGCGGCGCAUUAGCUAGUUGGUGAGGUAACGGCUCACCAAGGCGACGAUGCGUAGCCGACCUGAGAGGGUGAUCGGCCACACUGGGACUGAGACACGGCCCAGACUCCUACGGGAGGCAGCAGUAGGGAAUCUUCCGCAAUGGACGAAAGUCUGACGGAGCAACGCCGCGUGAGUGAUGAAGGUUUUCGGAUCGUAAAGCUCUGUUGUUAGGGAAGAACAAGUGCAAGAGUAACUGCUUGCACCUUGACGGUACCUAACCAGAAAGCCACGGCUAACUACGUGCCAGCAGCCGCGGUAAUACGUAGGUGGCAAGCGUUGUCCGGAAUUAUUGGGCGUAAAGGGCUCGCAGGCGGUUUCUUAAGUCUGAUGUGAAAGCCCCCGGCUCAACCGGGGAGGGUCAUUGGAAACUGGGAAACUUGAGUGCAGAAGAGGAGAGUGGAAUUCCACGUGUAGCGGUGAAAUGCGUAGAGAUGUGGAGGAACACCAGUGGCGAAAGCGACUCUCUGGUCUGUAACUGACGCUGAGGAGCGAAAGCGUGGGGA